rnacentral:rRNA from 1 species
GAUGAACGCUAGCGGCAGGCUUAACACAUGCAAGUCGAGGGGUAUUGGUUUUCGGACCAAGAGACCGGCGCACGGGUGCGUAACGCGUAUGCAAUCUACCUUUUGCAGAGGGAUAGCCCCAGAGAAAUUUGGAUUAAUACCUCAUAGUAUAGUACUUUGGCAUCAAGGAACUAUUAAAGUCACAACGGCAAAAGAUGAGCAUGCGUCCCAUUAGCUAGUUGGUAAGGUAACGGCUUACCAAGGCUACGAUGGGUAGGGGUCCUGAGAGGGAGAUCCCCCCACACUGGUACUGAGACACGGACCAGACUCCUACGGGAGGCAGCAGUGAGGAAUAUUGGACAAAUGGGCGCAAGCCUGAUCCAGCCAUGCCGCGUGCAGGAUGACGGUCCUACUGGAUUGUAAACUGCUUUAUACAGGAAGAACACCCCGACGUGUCGGAGCUUGACGGUACUGUAAGAAUAAGGAUCGGCUAACUCCGUGCCAGCAGCCGC